rnacentral:rRNA from 1 species
AGAGUUUGAUCCUGGCUCAGGACGAACGCUGGCGGCGUGCCUAAUACAUGCAAGUAGAACGCUGAAGACUGGUGCUUGCACUAGUCAGAUGAGUUGCGAACGGGUGAGUAACGCGUAGGUAACCUACCUUAUAGCGGGGGAUAACUAUUGGAAACGAUAGCUAAUACCGCAUGACAAUUAAGUACUCAUGUACUAAAUUUAAAAGGAGCAAUUGCUUCACUAUGAGAUGGACCUGCGUUGUAUUAGCUAGUUGGUGAGGUAACGGCUCACCAAGGCCACGAUACAUAGCCGACCUGAGAGGGUGAUCGGCCACACUGGGACUGAGACACGGCCCAGACUCCUACGGGAGGCAGCAGUAGGGAAUCUUCGGCAAUGGGGGCAACCCUGACCGAGCAACGCCGCGUGAGUGAAGAAGGUUUUCGGAUCGUAAAGCUCUGUUGUUAGAGAAGAACGGUAAUGGGAGUGGAAAAUCCAUUACGUGACGGUAACUAACCAGAAAGGGACGGCUAACUACGUGCCAGCAGCCGCGGUAAUACGUAGGUCUCGAGCGUUGUCCGGAUUUAUUGGGCGUAAAGCGAGCGCAGGCGGUUAUUUAAGUCUGAAGUUAAAGGCCGUGGCUCAACCAUGGUUCGCUUUGGAAACUGGAUAACUUGAGUGCAGAAGGGGAGAGUGGAAUUCCAUGUGUAGCGGUGAAAUGCGUAGAUAUAUGGAGGAACACCGGUGGCGAAAGCGGCUCUCUGGUCUGUAACUGACGCUGAGGCUCGAAAGCGUGGGGAGC